GUUCCGGAAGCUAUAGCAGCGUCAGGCUUUUAACCUGAAGAAGUGAUUUUGGUCGCUCGGAGUG
rnacentral:tRNA from 1 species